rnacentral:rRNA from 1 species
AGUGAACGCUGGCGGUAGGCCUAACACAUGCAAGUCGAACGGCAGCACAGUAAGAGCUUGCUCUUACGGGUGGCGAGUGGCGGACGGGUGAGGAAUACAUCGGAAUCUACUUUUUCGUGGGGGAUGACGUAGGGAAACUUACGCUAAUACCGCAUACGACCUACGGGUGAAAGCAGGGGAUCUUCGGACCUUGCGCGAUUGAAUGAGCCGAUGUCGGAUUAGCUAGUUGGCGGGGUAAAGGCCCACCAAGGCGACGAUCCGUAGCUGGUCUGAGAGGAUGAUCAGCCACACUGGAACUGAGACACGGUCCAGACUCCUACGGGAGGCAGCAGUGGGGAAUAUUGGACAAAGGGCGCAAGCCUGAUCCAGCCAUACCGCGUGGGUGAAGAAGGCCUUCGGGUUGUAAAGCCCUUUUGUUGGGAAAGAAAAGCAGCAGGUUAAUACCCCGCUGUUCUGACGGUACCCAAAGAAUAGGCACCGGCUAACUUCGUG